rfam:Lupinus angustifolius cultivar Tanjil chromosome LG11, whole genome shotgun sequence.
AUCUGAUGAUGGGGGCAACUUGCACAUAGUCUCAUGAAUCUCUCCCAAUAUUCAUAUAAACCUUCUGCAUGUAGUUGUAUGAUUCCUGAAAUAUCUUUUCUUAUUGC